UGGCUUAAAAGUGUCCCCUAGAGUUCCUGCACUGGCAGCCUAGUCCCCAGUGCAAUAGCACGGAGAGGUGGGACCUUUAAGAGGUGAUGAGGUCACAAGGGCUGGGCCCUCCUGAGCCCAUCAAUGCUAUCAUCAUGGGAGUGGGUUUGUUAUCAAAGCGAGUUCGGUCCCUUCUUGGUCUGUCUCUGGAGCACACACACCCCGUCCUUCCACUUACUGCCACAGGAUGACACGUCAGCAGGGCCCUCACCAGAUGCUGGCCCCUUGAUCUCAGACUUCCCGGCCUCCUGCGCUGCCAGCCUAAUACACUUCUCUUCGUUGUAAAUUACUCAGUCUGUGAUAUUCUGUGAUAGCAACAGAAAACAGACGAAGACGCAGGCCAAGAUUCCUUGGUGGUCCACAGACCCUGGAGUAAGAAUCUCUGCCCUAGGGGAUGACAGGACUGUAAAAGGAAGGGACCUGGGUCCCUGAAUCACACGGGGGAAGUCACCUGCUGAAUCAGAACGCCUCAACAGCUAGCUAGCCAAGAAAUAAACGGAGAGCGUGGCAACCCACAGAUUUUGUUUGUAUUUGUUUAUUAGAGCAGCUAGCAUUACCCUGAGCCAACAAAUUCCCAUUUCUGCUUAAAUCACUUUAAAUCAGUUUCUACUGUAGAAACUGAAUGAGUCCUAAUAAAUUCAGACAGUGGCCUGUGAAUCAAGUUAUGCACGAAGAAACUUGGGACUCCUGUCCCGGGGCUCCCAGAUAAAACCCUGUGGCCCCCUCCAUCUCUG
rnacentral:lncRNA from 10 species